GGCAACAUAAUCACCUGAGAUCACAACAGUGGUCUUGGAAAGGAACUCAGACCUGGAGUCAUCAGCCCACAAAGUGAAGAUCCAGUUCAAGACUGUAUCUAAAGAAUCUGAAGGUGCACAAGUACAUGGGACCCAUCCACAGGUACAUGAGAUCCAUCCACAGGUUCUAAGGGAACUGGUGCAUGAAGUUAUCAAGCUGCUAUCUAUUGUUCUCACUGAUUAGAAAACAGGGAAAAUGACCCUCACUUUCAAGAAGGAAAAAGAAGAAGAUCCAGGGAACUGCAGGCUAGUCUCACUUCUGUGCCUGGUGAGAUCAUGGAGCAGAUCCUCCUGAAGGCCCUACUAAGGCACAUAGAAAAUAAAGACAAGGUGAUUGGUGGUAACCAACGUGGCUUCACCAAGGGUAAGACAUGCCUGACAGACUGGGUGGUCUUUUAUGAUGGAGUUAUAACGUCAAUGGAUAAAGGAAGAGCAAAUCACAUCAUCUACCUGGACUGGUGCAAAGUACUUGAUAUCCCGGUUGCCAAAUUGGAGAAAAACUGGAUUUGAUGGAUGGACCACUUGCUGGAUAAGGAACUGGCUGUAUGGUUGCACUAAGAGAGAGAGUUGCAGUCAACAGCUCAGUGUCCAAGUGGAGACCAGUGACAAGUGGUGUUCCUCAGGGAUCAGUGCUGGAACUGGUAUUAUUUAGCAUCUCGGUAGGUGAGACGCGCAGUGGAAUUGUGUGUACAUUCAGCAGGUUUGCAGAUGACACCAAAGUGAGUGGUGCAGUUGACACGCUAGAGGGAAGGGAUGCUAUCCAAAGGGAUCUGGACAGGCUUGAGAAGUAGGCCCAUGUCAACCUCAUGAAGUUUAACAAAAAAAAAAAAAAAAAAAAGGAAUCAAGGUAAUUAAUUAUAUCUGUAUUGUCUCUACAUAGAGUUUAGCUACCUCAUUCAUUCUCAUUAUAGACAGUUCUUUUAUACAGUAAAUAGAAAACAGUAGAGUGUCAUUUCUGAAUGUAGAUUCAAAACUGGAAGAUGGGGAAAACAUCUGGUACACAGAGGGUUACAGCUAAAUUUGACUUAUUAAAUUGCCUGUCUGAGACUGACAGCUACAGCAGCUUACAGACAGCACUGCUUCCUGGUGAUGGCUUUGAAUUAAAACACCAGAGAAAAUGAGAACUUACAAAGACUGUUCCCAGUAGUCACCACACACUAUCAAUAUAGCAGAGAUCAGGUGCAAGGUGAACUACCACCUUAGUGCACAAACGUAUGUGCUUCUGAGCAUCAGCUGCUGUAGCAGUGGAUCCAGCAACAGAAAUAAGAGAUGGAAAUGACCACCAGUGGAACAACUCCUAGCGUCAUAGCAGGCUUUAAUACCUGUCUGCUAUGACUUACUACUGCCAGUAAGAUACCCUUGCCUUAGAUAGUAGGGGUAAGAUCAGAUAUAGUUGCAUCAUUCCAGAUCUCAGAGAGUUUUUAAGCAACUAUAAACAAUCAACAAGCCAAAUAUUCUUCAAUGGGAACAAGUCUGUGCAUUCAGUGCAAAAGGCUUUUGUGUUGUAUCUACUUCACCAGCUGCCAAACAAAAGUCAAGUAGCUCUUAAGCACUAGGCUGAUAAUGAAACUGCUCUCAGCAUGAGCAAACUGCAGUAAUUCUUAAAGGGCAAAUGAAGUGCUUUGUGGCAGAACAGGAAUGGAACUGCUGUUGAGUUUGGCUGUCUUUUUCAGUUCCAAACUAAGAACAGACUGUAGCCUAGCAGUACAUUUCUGUGUUUGUUCAUCUGAUGAGGUCAGUCAGUUGAAAUUAAUUUUUAUUACUCUAUAUCAAAUAAGAGGAAAUGGGAAUCAUUAAGUUACCUUUCCUAAUCAAUUCCUUCAACACACCUAGCUUCCCAGAGGAUAAACUACCCUCUGCUGGAAUAACAAAGAACUUACAGGCAAGAAAACAUUUCCUUAUUAACUUUGCACAGAGAUUCUUGAAAGCAUUCAGUUGCAAACAUAGUCUGUCUGUUGCUGCAGGCUUACUAGAGCUGGGGUUUGCUCCAAUAAUUUUGCAGCAAGUGUCAUCUUAGAUAACUGAGUCACUUAAUACAUGAAUCAUUCCCACAAAACUAACCUUUCUUAAAUGAGCAGAAAUAGAUUUCUUUUUUCCUUUUUUUUUUUUUUUUUUCCUAAGUAACAAGCUGCUGAUUUACAUAGCAUCCAGUAGCUUGUUGGUUUGUGUUAUUUUUCUUAGUCCUGGAAUCUUUCAGAAUUCAAAGCUCAAUGUGAUAUAAUUCACACCAUGCAAGAUUAGAUUACAUACAGGAGUUACAUGUAGGAAAACCUCCUGAAUAACUGUAAUGGCAAGUACUUAAAAAAAAGAAGAAAACAAACAAACAAACAAAAAAACCCACAAAAAAACCAUUUCCCAAAGAGUCCAGCCACAGUGUUUAUUAGGAAAAAGCCACAGCAUAGCACUAUUUAUUGCUAAUUUACUAGCGCUGCUCCAAAAAUAAUGCCUCCCAUUUUUAUUGUGUUGGCCCACAAUGUCAAAGGCAGAUGGUGGUGGUGUGGCAGUAGAGGUUGAACCUUUCCACCAAUAUCCUGUUACUUUUUGUUACUGCGUGACAGAUAGCAACAGAGGGGCACUCUGAUGAAAUGGCAUCUGACAUGGAAGCACGGAUGAAGCAAAGUUGUGCCACAGAAUUCCUGCACUUGGAAAAAAUGGCACCCACUGACAUUCAUCAGUGCUUCCUGAAAGCUGAUGGAGACAGUGGAUGCGAGCACAGCGAGGCAGUGGGUGUUGUGUUUUAGCAGCAGUAACAGUGACAUAAAAGACACAUUCUGGAUGGCUCUGCAAAUUUUAAUGAGUGCAAAAUGCAGGCAAUUCAUCACUGGUGAAACUGCAGAGCUAAUGGUAGAAAUUAUGCUGAAAAAUAGUGUUCUGUAGCCGAGAAUUUGCUCUAUCAAACAGUGUUAUUUUUUGCUUUGUAUCUGUUGUAGUUUCCAUGGAAGUAAAGAGAAGGCAUUAAUUUUCAAUAAACUACUUGUCUUGAAAGCUGGAAAUACUUUCAAGCCAGCCCACAGUAGGCAGGAUGGUACAAGAAGAAACUUCAUUAAAUUUUUGAGCUGAUCAUGACUCCCAUCUAGAUUCCAAUCACAUGCGAGGCCAGCCUUCAUGCUGCAGACUCUGCCUUCUUUCCAAAGAUGGUCCAGAAGGAAACAUGUCAACUUGAGACUAUUGACAAUCUUCUUGAAGUGCUUAACCAGAACAGAAACAGAAAAUUCAGUUUGUAGAGGUAGCAGAUUUUUCCAAAGAAACUUUGUUUUAUUUUUCAAAUAGAUAUUGAAGAACACCAAAGUCAAGUAGGAAAACAAGGAAUGGAAUGGUACAGUCAUAUUAUGAACUGAGCCACAUCCCUGACUCUUAAUCUGGCUGCAAAAAUACUAAGCCUGCUGAUUUCAUCAAAGUUGCAUAUAGUUUUAACACUAGAUACAAGUUUCAACUUCCAAACUCAAACAAACAACCUCAGUUCUUUCUUCACAACUACAGAAAACGGCUGUUAACAGACUCCUGGGCUCUGUUAUCACAUGUAAAGGAAAGGAAAAAAACGGAAAAAGUCUGUCACUUUGUUGAAAUUUCUAGCACAUAAACAUCAUCAUGCAUUUACAGUAAGGAUCCUUGGAAACAAACUUCACUCUUCAAGUCUCUCAUUUGGAAAAUCAGAAGAGCUAGGCAUCAGUAGGACCUGUUAGUUAAGGACUUGCUGGGUUCUGUCUGCUUCCACCAUGGCCAUCAACUGCCAGACACAACAAAACAAACAGCCUCCACACCCCUGCUGAAAAAGAAAAAUAAUAAUUACUAAUGCACCUUCUAAAAUUCCCCCCAAAACAAUCCAGCAUAUGUUCUAAAAAGGCAUUCCUUCAUUUCAAUGAUGGUGCAACCAUCUGUGCCCCAAAGGCAUUCAGUUUCUAACAUUUUUGUCUGAAUAGGGUCUGACAUUUCUGUCUGUUUGUAACUCGUCAGGCAAGAUCUCAAGUAGCCACAAUUACUUCACAGGGCUGUAAAGUAAGAAUAUACAUUAAAAGCUAAGUAUUUGUGUGCUUUUAUGAACUUCCCUUUCCUGCUGUUUGCCUCUGAAAGACAGGUAAACUCUGUUCAUCUUAAAAAAGAAAAAAAUCAGAAAGGAAUAGUACAUGGAUAUAAGCAGUACAUGGAUAUAGGCAACAGCUGAGGAAGAAUUCAAUUUAACAUACGGAGUUCCAAAUAAACGAGUUGAAAACAAAACAAAAAUUAGAAGCAUUUUAACUCAUAAAGCAGACUUCGUAACUGCUAAAAUAGCAGAACGUUCCACCAAAGUGACAAAUGUUAUUACAGAGGAAAAUGUCAUUUGGCGUGCCAUACAGAUUAAUAGCCUAAUUUAAACAGGGGGAAAAAAAGAAGAAGGAAAAAAAAAAAAAAAACCCCUAAUAAAACGUCAGUAGCAUGAUUGACCAACAUGGAACACCCCAGUGUGCAGUAAAUUACAGAGCUGUAUCCUGUGGGAGUGUAGAGGUGCCUCGCAUGCCCGCUCACCAUUGGCUCCUCUUGCAGCAGCAGUGAGAGGCUCCCACAGAUGGCCGCACAUAGAGGAAGAACACAGCAGCGGGGGGCAGUGGGGAUAGAGCAGGGAUAUCCUCCCCUCCCCAGAGAAUUCCCCCACCAGGGAAAGCCCCCACAAAUCAAGCUGUUUUAUGAAGCACAAAGGAAAUGUAGCAGAAGUCCCACUAUUGCUAGUCAGACUAGUAAUAGCCGGAACUCUUAAAAGAAAUCUAAUACCAGUUUAUUUGUGCAUCUAAUACAUUUAAAUCUAAUACUGGUUUACUUGUAGUUAUAAAUCUCAUACUGUACUGUCUGUGAUGAUGCUAUGUAAAAAUCCACAGGCAGAAAAAUGCUACGUGCUUUAAAAUACAGAAACUUGUAUUUACUUACAAUGCUAUUUCCAUUCCAAUUCCAUUACAAAACCUGCUACUUCCUUUUAAAUAUUUAUUCAACUUACUUCUUGUGUAUUUUUUUAUUUCCUAUUGAUUAAUUAAAAACCAUUAUGUAACUUUCGGUUCAGUCUACUUCUAC
ensembl:lncRNA